rnacentral:lncRNA from 1 species
UCUUUCUGACAUAUUUCUCUGAGCAAUUUAGGCUAUUUUUCUUUCAUUUCCUCUGUGUGUUUUGUUAAUCUGUGUUUGUUGUAGGAACCAUGGGACCAAAAAGAGCACAAGUUAUACGCAUAUCUUCUUUAAGGUGUUCCACCAUUCCAUCUACCCCCACCUACCCUAACCAUAAGUUCUUAUCUGAGGCUCAUGCUGAGAAUGACCUCAAGAUGUUGGACUACCACAUCGUGAAAGAAAG